ensembl:lncRNA
CAGAACGCGGAGAACAGCGAGGCUGCAGAAGGAGACGACGAUGAACUUGAAGGCCAUGAAGCUUAGAGCGAAGAUGUUGAUUAAAUUGUACAUUGAAUUGUUUUCACCAACGUACAGGCUUCCUAUGUUUGCAAAGCACAGCAGCCAAACACAUCCGAUGGAGACGUUUCUGACUCUGAUCCACUUCUGGUUCUUCAGGCCCAGGUAGGUGACGGGGUGAACGACGGCCAGGUAGCGCUCCACACAGGUCAGAGUGUGAAACAGCUGCUGGCCCAAAAAGUUCACUGAUAAAAAGCAUACACCCACCGUGACCAUUCCUGUGAGACGGGUGAGGACGCCGCAACAGCAUAAAAGGUACCCUACGAUAUUCAUCAGCUCGAUGGCGACCAUGUGGAAGGUGAAGACGUCGGAGUGGCUCGCCGCCGUGCCGGAGCGCCGUUGUUUGAGUCCCAGGUAGACGACGUAGACGCAGGGAGGGAGGACCAGCAGGAGGCUGCAGACGGUGAAAGCGGUGAUGCUGGAGGCGCCGGCUGGACUUCUGUAGCACUUCUGCAGGAAUUCAAAGAUAUUGAUGGAGGAAGAGUUGGAAGGAGGAAACGAGGAAGAGGAGAUGACUGACAUGACUGGGGGCAAGAGGGAUGAGUAGAAUGAAUAAGAAGAAGAUGGGAGAGGGAAACAGUGAGAUCAUUUUAUGGUGACAGAGAAUGGCGACAAAACGCAUAUCAUAGUUGAACGCAUAUUCACAUUCAAAUCAAUGAAGCAGGGCGGUCAGAGCGUUGGUCAUUUCAGUGGGCGAACUUCUGUAAAAAAUAUACAGACUUACGCAAACUCGUGGACUACCUGACGAGAGGAUUUCCAGUAAAAGCAAAAAUUGCAUUAACGAUUGGAAUAUAAAACAUGAGAGCAUGAAAACAUGGCACAGAAACUAAAACCCACAAUCACACAUUUGUACCUGUGAUGCAUCUGACAAAAAUCUGUGCGACCUACUUCUUAGAAUACGUAUAAUAUCUGACAAGAACCGCAGAUGAUUAAUCCGGUCCUAUAAGUUUCAUAAUAGUAGUGAGCAGUGUUUUUAUUUACCUGCCAAAGGAACAUUGUUUGGCCGUUGGCUUUAUUUUUUUAUGUGAUGACAAAUAACAUUGAAUAAAAUACAAAGAUACUCACUUUGACGGCUGAUUUUAGAUCGCACACUUUCUGACCUUCUGUCCUUUGUGUGUCUGGACUUAUAACUGAUGUGAUGCUUUGCAGAAAAAACCCAACACAUUUGAAUCUGUGUGUGUGUGUUUUGCAUGUUUUAAAACCCGUAAGCAGAUCCAGAAUCAGCGCUUUGCUGUAAGACCUUUAUAAAAUGUCUGUUAUGUACCAUCUACUUUUACACUUGGAAUGUGUGAAUUAGUGUAGAAUUUGCUUAUUUUACACUCUAGCAACAAAAUCUCCAACUUAGAUACAUAAUGUAAAGUGAAGACAAAGAAUCUCCAGGUCUGCUGUUGCUUACAUUUACAUACAUUGAAUAAAAGACCCUCUAUAUUUUCUAAGAAACCUGUUUUCAUCAGACGCAGGUGAAAAACAGCAUUAAAACACAGAUGUUCAUUGUCAAUGUCUUCAUUAUGAGUAGUUCUGGUUGUGAGAAAUUUGCUUAUUCACCUCAUCUUUCACCAAGAUGUUGUUUGACAGGAUUCAAAUGAGCUGUGACUAAAAAUCCUUCAAUUAUUCAAAUCAAACACCGUCCGUCUCAGUGUGUCACUUGUUAUUUUAAGACCUAAACGAGCUACAAGAUCAACUUUGGUCCAGUAUUUUGCUAAUCACAGUUGGAUAUUUUAUUUAGUCUACCACAAUUUGUCAAUUAUUAUUAGUAUUUGGUUAGAUUAGCUAAUUCCGCUGGUCUGUAUGUAGACGUCUACCAACAAGGAGACAAGAAAUGCAGAAUAAAAUAAUUUAAAAAAAAGAUAAUGCUUGAGCACUACAACACAAAAUAUCCACAAAGAGAUUUAAAACUACCAAAAUGAGCACAGAAAUGGUAUUUUCUGCGGAUUUUAACCUCAUCUGUUGCUGUUCUUACAAAACAGGAGUUUUCCUGCCCGGUGUAGAAAGAGCAGAGGCAACACCAGGCUGCCCGGCAGAGACGACCACCAUGUCAACAACCACGCCGUACACUUCUCAGACUCAAGAUGCAGAUGGUUAAAUGAUGCACAGUAAACCGCAGUCCCCCCAGACCUCACCAACAGCACCCCCACUAUGACCAGGAUGGUGUAGAACGCUCUCUUCUCUGCUCGGUCGACCCGCUGUCCGGCCAGGAGACGAUGAUGAAGAUGAAGGCCAAAGAAUAAUAAUAAAUAAAAGAAAAUGUUGAUUGAAUUUGAUUCCACCACGUAUAGGGAACCUAUAUUUGCAAAGCAGUGCAGGCAAACGAAUCCGAUGGAGACGUUUCUGACUCUGAUCCACUUCUGGUUCUUCAGGCCCAGGUAGGUGACGGGGUGAACGACGGCCAGGUAGCGCUCCACACAGGUCAGAGUGUGAAACAGCUGCUGGCCACUUGCGUUCACUGAUAAAAAGCAUACACCCACCAUGACCAUUUCUGUGAGACGGGUGAGGACGCCGCAACUGCAUAAAAGGUUCCCUACGAUAUUCAUCAGCUCGAUGGCGACCAUGUGGAAGGUGAAGACGUCGGAGUGGCUCGCCGCCGUGCCGGAGCGCCGUUGUUUGAGUCCCAGGUAGACGACGUAGACGCAGGGAGGGAGGACCAGCAGGAGGCUGCAGACGGUGAAAGCGAUCAUGCUGGAGGCGCCGGCUGGACUUCUGUAGCAGUUCUGCAGGAAUUCAAUGACAUUGAUGGAGGAAGAGUUGGAAGGAGAAAACGAGGAAGAGGAAUUGACUGACAUGACUGGGGGCAAGAGUCAGGGACAGAGAGGAUAAGAGAGAAAGAUAAGACACAAUCUUAACAAAAGGUCCUUUUAAACGUCCUCAUCUUACGCACUCUUUAAGCUAAACACACUCUUCCAACAGGUAGAUUUAUUGAUCAAAAUCAUCACAACAUGAAGGUAGGUAUCUUCUACAGAAUUACCUUUCACAUUUGUUUUUGAUUGAACAAGAAUAUUAUUGACAGAUAUAACAUUCGUACUUUAAAAUCAGGUAAUGAAGCAUUUAAAAAAAACAAAUGAAGAACAAUAUCUUAUGAAGAGUGUAAACUAACCGCCAUUAUUCGUAACAGAUGUCACUCUAAUGAAUUAAACUGAUCGAAUUUCCACCAUGAAAAUACACCUACUUUCUUUGCAGUUUUUGAUUGUGAUCCUUCUGAUAUUCUGUCCGCUGUGUCUCUGGCCUGUGGACUGGUGGACUGUCGCCGGCUGCAGCGUAAAUGUGCGUCUGUGUGUGAAUGUUUUGCAUAUCACGUAACCCGAGAAUUGCUCCAACAGGGGGAGCUGCUUCUGAACCUCGGCCCUCAGAUUUACAGGUGCUGAUCCGCAUCCCGACUGCUUCACACUGGUCUGUGACCUCCAGUGAGAGUUGGAGAUGCCAUUAGGACCACACCAUCUGCAUAAAGCAGCGAUGAGAACGGUGAAGCCUCCCCCUCAUCCCCCCGACUACGCCCCAAUAUCCAUGUAAACCACAAACCGGACUAGUGACAAGGUGCCGGCCUGGCGAAGGCCGACGCCCACCGGAAACGACUCCGACUGACGGCUUCCUGUCUGUACUGGGUGUGCUGGGAUUGGACGGCCCCUUGGACUGGGUUUGGCAUGUUAGCAUGCUAACACUUACUAGCCUAAAAAAAUCUAGACUUCAUAAGUUUGAUGAAAGCAGCAUUUCAACACAUAUUAAACAGCAUGUUCACUUGGCAGGGCUGUUUAUUCAUUGAUUGGUUAUUCGGCAUAUGAUUCAUCAGAAUUACAUGAAAAUACACUUAAUUUGGAUAACAAACUCUCU